rnacentral:rRNA from 1 species
GUUGAACGCUGGCGGCAGGCCUAACACAUGCAAGUCGAGCGGUAGCACAGAGAACUUGCUCUCGGGUGACGAGCGGCGGACGGGUGAGUAAUGUCUGGGAAACUGCCUGAUGGAGGGGGAUAACUACUGGAAACGGUAGCUAAUACCGCAUAACGUCGCAAGACCAAAGUGGGGGACCUUCGGGCCUCAUGCCAUCAGAUGUGCCCAGAUGGGAUUAGCUAGUAGGUGGGGUAACGGCUCACCUAGGCGACGAUCCCUAGCUGGUCUGAGAGGAUGACCAGCCACACUGGAACUGAGACACGGUCCAGACUCCUACGGGAGGCAGCAGUGGGGAAUAUUGCACAAUGGGCGCAAGCCUGAUGCAGCCAUGCCGCGUGUGUGAAGAAGGCCUUCGGGUUGUAAAGCACUUUCAGCGGGGAGGAAGGCGGUGAGGUUAAUAACCUCAUCGAUUGACGUUACCCGCAGAAGAAGCACCGGCUAACUCCGUGCCAGCAGCCGCGGUAA